rnacentral:rRNA from 1 species
UACGUAGGGUGCGAGCGUUAAUCGGAAUUACUGGGCGUAAAGCGUGCGCAGGCGGUUCGCUGUGUCCGAUGUGAAAGCCCCGGGCUUAACCUGGGAAUGGCAUUGGAAACUGGCGGGCUUGAGUGCGGCAGAGGGGGGUGGAAUUCCGCGUGUAGCAGUGAAAUGCGUAGAGAUGCGGGGGAACACCGAUGGCGAAGGCAGCCCCCUGGGUCGACACUGACGCUCAGGCACGAAAGCGUGGGGAGCAAACAGG